rnacentral:rRNA from 1 species
ACUUCGGUUUGGGUGGCGGACGGGUGAGUAACGCGUAAAGAACUUGCCUCACAGAUAGGGACAACAUUUGGAAACGAAUGCUAAUACCUGAUAUUAUGAUUUUAGGGCAUCCUAGGAUUAUGAAAGCUAUAUGCGCUGUGAGAGAGCUUUGCGUCCCAUUAGCUAGUUGGAGAGGUAACGGCUCACCAAGGCGAUGAUGGGUAGCCGGCCUGAGAGGGUGAUCGGCCACAAGGGGACUGAGACACGGCCCUUACUCCUACGGGAGGCAGCAGUGGGGAAUAUUGGACAAUGGACCAAGAGUCUGAUCCAGCAAUUCUGUGUGCACGAUGAAGUUUUUCGGAAUGUAAAGUGCUUUCAGUUGGGAAGAAAAAAAUGACGGUACCAACAGAAGAAGUGACGGCUAAAUACGUGCCAGCAGCCGCGGUAAUACGUAUGUCACAAGCGUUAUCCGGAUUUAUUGGGCGUAAAGCGCGUCUAGGUGGUUAUGUAAGUCUGAUGUGAAAAUGCAGGGCUCAACUCUGUAUUGCGUUGGAAACUGUGUAACUAGAGUACUGGAGAGGUAAGCGGAACUACAAGUGUAGAGGUGAAAUUCGUAGAUAUUUGUAGGAAUGCCGAUGGGGAAGCCAGCUUACUGGACAGAUACUGACGCUGAAGCGCGAAAGCGUGGGUAGCAAACAGGAUUAGAUACCCUGGUAGUCCACGCCGUAAACGAUGAUUACUAGGUGUUGGGGGUCGAACCUCAGCGCCCAAGCAAACGCGAUAAGUAAUCCGCCUGGGGAGUACGUACGCAAGUAUGAAACUCAAAGGAAUUGACGGGGACCCGCACAAGCGGUGGAGCAUGUGGUUUA